rnacentral:rRNA from 1 species
GUAGGGAAUCUUCCACAAUGGGCGCAAGCCUGAUGGAGCAACACCGCGUGAGUGAAGAAGGGUUUCGGCUCGUAAAGCUCUGUUGUUAAAGAAGAACACGUAUGAGAGUAACUGUUCAUACGUUGACGGUAUUUAACCAGAAAGUCACGGCUAACUACGUGCCAGCAGCCGCGGUAAUACGUAGGUGGCAAGCGUUAUCCGGAUUUAUUGGGCGUAAAGAGAGUGCAGGCGGUUUUCUAAGUCUGAUGUGAAAGCCGUCGGCUUAACCCGAGAAGUGCAUCGGAAACUGGAUAACUUGAGUGCAGAAGAGGGUAGUGGAACUCCAUGUGUAGCGGUGGAAUGCGUAGAUAUAUGGAAGAACACCAGUGGCGAAGGCGGCUACCUGGUCUGCAACUGACGCUGAGACUCGAAAGCAUGGGUAGCGAACAGGAUUAGAUACCCGAGUAGUCC